CCUACGGGUGGCAGCAGUGAGGAAUAUUGGUCAAUGGCCGGAAGGCUGAACCAGCCAAGCCGCGUGAAGGACGAAGGUGCCAAGCAUUGUAAACUUCUUUUGUCAAGGGACAAAAUCAGGCUCGAGAGCCUGACCGAGGGUACUUGAAGAAAAAGCAUCGGCUAACUCCGUGCCAGCAGUCGCGGUAAUACGGAGGAUGAGAGCGUUAUCCGGAUUUAUUGGGGUUAAAGGGUGCGUAGGCGGGCUGUUAAGUCAGCGGUAAAAGUCCGGGGACCAACCCCGGCGAGCCGUUGAAACUGGCUGUCUUGAGAUGUCGAGAGGUAUGCGGAAUGCGCAGUGUAGCGGUGAAAUGCUUAGAUAUUGCGCAGAACUCCGAUUGCGAAGGCAGCAUACCGGCGGCGGUCUGACGCUGAGGCACGAAAGCGUGGGUAUCGAACAGGAUUAGAUACCCGGGUAGUC
rnacentral:rRNA from 1 species